CUACUAAAAAUACAAAAUUAGCCGGGUGUGGUGGUGCAUGCCUGUAAUUCCAGCUACUCGGGAGGCUGAGGCAGGAGAAUUGCUUGAACCCGGUGGCGAGGUUGCAGUGAGCCGAGAUCGCACCACUGCACUCCAGCCUGGGCAACAAGAGUGAAACUCUGUCUCAAAAAAAAAAAAAUUUAAAGAGAUCAAGAUUGGAGGCUGGACACAGUAGCUCACGCCUGUAAUCCCAGCAGUUUGGGAGACCUAGGUGGGUAGAAAUUCUGUCUCAAAAAAAAAAAAAAAAAUUGGAAAGGAAGAAGUAAAAUUAUAUUCACAAACAACAUGGUCAUCUUUACAAAAAAUCAUUUGGAAUCUACAAAAAGGCUAAUAAAACUUAGCAAGUUUGUAAGAAACAAUAAACAAAAAUCAAUUGUAUUUUUAUAUAGAAUUAGCAGACAUUUUUAAGUAGAUAAUAAAAUCAGUACUAUUUUCUUUCCUUUUCUUUUAUUAUUAUUUUUAGUAGAGACGAGGUUUCACCGUGUUAGCCAGAAUGGUCUCCAUCUCCUGACCUCGUGAUCCACCUGCCUCGGCCUCCCAAAGUGCUGGGAUUACAGGUGUGAGCCACCGCGCCUGGCCUAAAUCAGUACUAUUUUCAGUAGGAGCAAAACAUAGUUAAAAUUUAGGAAUAAUUACGACAAAAGAUUUGUAAGCCCUGUACACUGAAAGCUAUAGAACAUUUCUGAGAGAAAUAAGAGACCUAAAUAGAUGGAGAGAUAAUAUCAUGUUCAUGAAUUGGAAGAUUCAAUAUUGUUAAGAACUUAAUUCUCUCCAAAUUAUCUAUGGAGUUGUGAUAUUAUGAUAUCUAUAUAUUGAUUUUCAUCCAUGGUUCCUGGCUUAUAACUCCUGUAGCUCUUGUUGUAAUGUUGGGGUGCUUUAGGCCUCAGAAGCAGGCGUCAGGAAACAGAAUCUCUCUCUGAUCUUCUACUGCUGUCCUUUCACUCUCUGAUCUACUGCUGUCCUUUCACUCUCUGAUCUUCUACUGCUGUCCUUUCACAGGCUCCCUUUUCUCCCCCAAGGCAGGACUGUCAUCUUCCCCUGCCUUUCCAUAAAGAAAUUCCCUGACCUACCUUGUCUGAUUGUAGGUCAUAAAACCCCUAUUUUAGAAAGGGUCCUGCUCCAUACCCUGAAGGAAGGAAUGCUGCACACAGAGGCCAAGAAGAAUCUGAACAAACAGGCCUUGCUGGGUAUCCCCAUUCAGUCUAUUUUAGAUCCUACCCUUUUUAUCUAAUCACAUCUACAUGGUUGUCAAUCAUGCCUAUCCAAUGAAGUCUUCAUAAAAGGCCCAAGAAGACAACAUUAUAGAGAGCUUCCAAAUAGUUGAACAAGGGGAGUCUUACAGGAAAGUGAGCAAGAACUCAACCACAUGCCAGGAGGGCAGUGUACCGCAACUCCAAAGGGACAGAAGCUCCUGUGAUCAGACACUUCCAGACCUUGUCCUGUGUAUCUCUUCAUCUGGCUAUCUAUUUAUAUCCUUUAAAGUAUCCUGGCUGAACGCAGUGGCUCACGCCUGUAAUCCCAGCACUUUGGGAGGCCAAGGCUGGUGAGUCACCUGAGGUCAGGAGUUAGAGACCAGCCUGACCAAUAUGGUGAAACCCCAUCUCUACUAAAAAUACAAAAAUUAGCCAGGUGUGGUGGACCAUGCUGGUAGUCCCAGCUACACAGGAGGCUGAGACAGGAGAAUUGUUUGAAAUCGAGAGGCAGAGGUUGCAGUGGGCCAAGAUUGUGCCACUGCACUCCAGUCUGGGCGACAGAGUGAGACUCCAUCUCAAAAAAAUAAAAUAAAAUAAAAUAAUAAAUCCUGGGCUGGGCACAGUGGCUCACGCCUGUAAUCCCAGCACUUUGGGAAGCCGAGGCGGGUGGAUCAACUGAGGUCAGGAGUUCGAGACCAGCCUGGCCAAACAUGGUGAAACCCCUUCUCUAGUAAAAAUACAAAAAAAUGAGCCGAGCGUGGUGGCGGGCGCCUGUCAUCCCAACUGCUCAGGAGGCUGAGGCAGGAGAAUCGCUUGAACCCGGGAGGUGGAGGUUGCAGUGAGCUGAGAUCACACCAGUGCACUCCAGCCUGGGCAAAAAGAAUGAGACUCUGUCUCAAAAAAUAAUAAUAAUCCUUUGUAUGACUGGGCACAGUGGCUCACGCCUGUAAUCCCAGCACUCUGGGAAGCUGAGGUGGGUGGAUCACCUGAGGUCAGGAGUUUGAGACCAGCCUGGCCAAGAUGGUGAAACCCUGUCUCUACUAAAAAGUACAAAAAUUACAGCAUGCCUGUAAUCCCAGCUACUCAGGAGGUUGAGGCGGGAGAAUCGCUUGAACCUGGGGGGCGGAGGUUGUAGUGAGCUGAGAUCGUGCCACUGCACUCUAUCCUGGGUGACAGAGCGAGACUCCAUCUCAAAAAAAAAAAAAAUACAAAAAUUAGCUGGGUGUGAUAGCAGGUGCCUGUAAUCCCAGCUACUUGAGAGGCUGAGCCAGAAGAAUCACUUGAACCUGGGAGGAAGAGGUUGCAGUGAGCUGAGAUCGUACCAUUGCACUCUAGCCUGGGCAACAGAGCAAGAAUCCAUCUCAAAAAAAAAAAAAAGUAUAUAAAUACACACACACACACACACACAUAUCCUUUGUAAUAAACCAGUAAAUGUAAAUAAGUGUCUCCCUGAGUUCUGUGAGCCACUCUAGCAAAGAGGAUCAUGGGAACUCCAUCUUGAAGCCAGCUGAUCAAACGCACAGAGGCCUGGUCUUGUGACUAGUGGGAAGGAGGAGGUGUUCUUGUGGGACUGAGCCCUCAACCUGUGGUUUCUGAAGCUAUUUCCAGGUAGAUAAUGUCAGAAUUGAAUUGAAUUGGAGGACACGCAGCUGAUACCUGCUGCAGAAUUGAUUGCUUGGUGUAUGAGGAGAAACCAACCCACAUUUGGUCCCAGAAGAAUUCUGGGUUGAUUGUUGUGGUGUGAGAACAGUGGAAAAACAUGGUUUGAGUUUUUCUACUAUCCCAAGAGUCAGUGUAAUCCCAAUCAAAAUCUUUUUUAAAAAAUAUUUUACAGAAAAAAUUGACAGGCUGCUUCUGAAGUUCAUAUGAAAGGGAAAAAUAAGGCCGGGUGCGGUGGCUCACGCUUGUAAUCCCAGCACUUUGGGAGGCCGAGGCGGACGGAUCACGAGGUCAGGAGAUCGAGACCACAGUGAAACCCCGUCUCUACUAAAAAUACAAAAAAAUUAGCCGGGCGUGGUGGCGGGCGCCUGUAGUCCCAGCUACUCGGAGAGGCUGAGGCAGGAGAAUGGCGUGAACCCGGGAGGCGGAGCUUGCAGUGAGCCGAGAUCGGGCCACUGCACUCCAGCCUGGGUGAUAGAGCAAGACUCCGUCUCAAAAAAAAAAGAAAGGGAAAAAUAAAAAAACCCCAAAACUAGAGUAGACAAAACAACUUGAAGACUAUGAAGAAAGUUGGAAUCCAUGAGUGGUGGCUAACGCUUGUAAUCCCAGAACUUGGGAGACUGAGACAGGCAGAUCACUUGAGGUCAGGAGUUCAAGACUUAGUCUGUCCAACACAGUGAAACCCCGUCUCUACUAAAAAUACAAAAAAAAAAAAAAAAUUAGGCGUGGUGGCGAGUGCCUGUAAUCCUAACCACCUGGGAAGCUGAGGCAGGAUAAUCACUUGAACUUGGGAGCGGAGGCUGCAAUGAGCCAACAUAGUACCACUGUGCUCCAGCCUGGGCGAGACAGAGUGAUACUCUGUCUCAAAAAAAAAAAAAAAAAAAAAAUUGGAGAAGUGGUUCGUUUCCUGCCCAGAUCCUGACUGACAGUAGGUUUGAGGGCACAAGCCAAGGGAAGCAGUACCAGAGGCUCAACAUGAUGAAAACAGCUGUCCAGCAAGAAAGACUAGAGCUUGGUUUUUGUUAAUUUUUUUUUUUUUUUUUUGAGACGCAGUCCCGCUCUGUUGCCCAGGUUAGAGUGCAGUGGCACAAUCUUGGCUCACUCCAACCUCCGCCUCCCAGGUUCAAGCGAUCCUCCUGCCUCAGCCCCCCAGGAGCUGGGAUUAUAGGCAUGCUCCACCACGCCCAUCUAAUUUAGAAUCUUUAGUAGGGAUGGGGUUUUUCCAUUUUGGUCAGGCUGGUCUCAAACUCCCGACCUCAGGUGAUCCACCCGCCUUGGCCUCCCAAAGUGCUGGGAUUACAGGCGUGAGCCACUGCACUCGGCCUUGUUAAACUUUUUUUUUUUUUUUUUUUUUUUGAGAGAAGUCUCGCUCUUACCUCACAGGUUUGAGUGCAAUGACUUGAGCUUAGCUCACUGCAACCUCCACCUCACGGGUUCAAACGAUUCUCCUGCCUCUGCCCCACAAGUAGCUGGGAUUUAAGUCGCCUGCCACCACGCCCAGCUAAUUUUUGUACUUUUUAGUAGAGACAGAGUUUCACCAUGUUGGCCAGGCUGGUCUUGAACUCCUGACCUCAGGUUAUCUGCCUGCCUCGGCCUCCCAAAGUGCUGGGAUUACAGGUGUCAGCCACUGCGCCCAGCCAUUUUUUUUUUUUUUUUUUUUUGAGACGGAGUCUCGCUGUCGCCCAGGCUGGAGUGCAGUGGCAAGAUUUCGGCUCACUGCAGGCUCCGCCCCCCGGGGUUCACGCCAUUCUCCUGCCUCAGCCUCCAGAGUAGCUGGGACUACAGGCGCCCGCCACCUCACCCGGCUAAUUUUUUUUUGUAUUUUUAGUAGAGACGGGGUUUCACCAUAUUAGCCAGGAUGGUCUCGAUCUCCCGACCUCGUGAUCCGCCCACCUCGGCCUCCCAAAGUGCUGGGAUUACAGGCGUGAGCUGCCGCGCCCGGCCAUUUUUUUUUGUUGUUAAUUUUUAAGACAUGAUUAGAGCCAAAGAAGAGUUGGUGUAGAGAUCAAGGUUUGGACAAGGGUGAGGCAAGUGAGGCUUUCAUUCUCAAGGACCCAUCUUGGGCUUAUAUUGAGAGGUGACAGCAUGCUGGCAGUCCUCACAGCCCUCACUUGCUCUCGGUGCCUCCUCUGCUUGGGCUCCCACUUUGGCAGCACUUGAGGAGCCCUUCAGCCCACUGCUGCACUGUGGGAGCCCCUUCUGGGCUGGCCAAGGCCGGAGCCCACUCCCUCAGCUUGCAGGGAGGUGUAGAGGGAGAGGUGCAAGCGGGAACCGGGGCUGCGUGCGGCGCUUGCGGGCUGGCUGGAGUUCCGGGUGGGCGUGGGCUUGGCGGGCCCCCCACUCAGAGCAGCCAGCUGGCCCUGCCGGCCCCAGGCAAUGAGGGGCUUAGCACCCAGGCCAGCGGCUGCGGAGGGUGUACUGGGUCCCCCAGCAGUGCCAGCCCACUGGCGAUGCGCUCGAUUUCUCACUGGGCCUUAGCUGCCUUCCCGCAGGGCAGGGCUCGGGACCUGCAAGCCCGCCAUGCCUGAGCCUCCCACCCCCUCCAUGGGCUCCUGUGCGGCCCGAGCCUCUGCAACGAGUGCCACUCCCUGCUCUACCUCGCCCAGUCCCAUCAACCACCCAAGGGCUGAGGAGUGCGAGCGCACCGCGCAGGACUGGCAGGCAGCUCCACCUGCAGCCCCGGUGCAGGAUCCACUGGGUGAAGCCAGCUGGGCUCCUGAGUCUGGUGGAGAUGUGGAGAACCUUUAUGUCUAGCUCAGGGAUUGUAAAUACACCAAUCGGCACCCUGUGUCUAGCUCAGGGUUUGUGAAUGCACCAAUCAACACUCUGUUUCUAGCUGCUCUGGUGGGGCCUUGGAGAACCUUUGUGUCGAUACUCUGUAUCUAACUGAUCUGAUGGGGACGUGGAGAACUUUUAUGUCUAGCUCAGCGUUGGUAAAUGCACCAAUCAGCGCCCUGUCAGAACAGACCACUUGGCUCUACCAAUCAGCAGGACGUGGGUGGGGCCAGAUAAGAGAAUAAAAGCAGGCUGCCUGAGCUAGCAGCGGCAACCCGCUCGGGUCCCCUUCCACGCUGUGGAAGCUUUGUUCUUUUGCUCUUUGCAAUAAAUGUUGCUACUGCUCACUCUUUGGGUCCACACUGCUUUUAUGAGCUGUAACACUCACCGUGAAGGUCUGCAGCUUCACUCCUGAAGCCAGCGAGACCACGAGCCCACCGGGAGGAAUGAACAACUCCAGACGCGCCACCUUAAGAGCUGUAACACUCACUGUGAAGGUCUGCAGCUUCACUCCUGAGCCAGCGAGACCAUGAACCCACCAGAAGGAAGAAACUCUGAACACAUCCCAACAUCGGAAGAAACAAACUCCAGACGUGCCACCUUAAGAGCUGUAACACUCACCGCGAGAGUCCGCGGCUUCAUUCUUGAAGUCAGUGAGACCAAGAACCCACCAAUUCUGGACACAAUAUGAUCUUGAGAGUGUGUGCCUCCUUAAAUUUUAUGUUUCCUCACCUGAAGGUAAUCCUGCCCCUUAUGGGACUCAGAACAUGAUACCCCAACAUAUGGCACCUUGGCAAUUAAGAAAACUAAAGAAGCAAGAUCACAUUGACCUUCCCACCUGCUUUCUCAUGCACAAUGCUUUCAUAAAGGAAUUAUUUAACCUACCUCACCUGAAAGCAGGAUAUAAGACCCUCAUUCCAGGCUGGCCCAGCCCCAUAUUCAGAGAAAAGGAAUGCUACUCAGCAGAAAGGAAUGCUCCUCAGAGUGGCCAAGAACAAUCUGAACAAACAGACCUUGUCAUAUUUCCCCCACUUCCCCUACCCCAGUUUAUUACCAUUAGAUCAUACCCUUUGUCCAGUCGUGUUCUCCACAAUCAUCUACUUCUUUCAGCAGACUUAGCAUUUAAAAAAACACAAUUUUCCCUGGGUCUUUGGGUCUUCAUUUCUGAAGGCUCUUAUGUCUUAUAAAACUUUGUUAAAUUUGUUAUGCUUUCCUCUUAUUAAUCUGCGUUUUGUUAUGGGGUGUUAUCUGUGAACCUAGCAAUGGGUGAGGAAGACAAUACUUUUUUCUCUCCUAUGCCCUGGUGGGGAGCUCUCUAGACAGACAAAUGAAUAGCUUAGGCUUCUCAUCAUCCAUAUACCCACACUCUCUCUUUUUUUUUUUUUUUUAAACAGAGUCUCCUUCUGUUGCCCAGGCUGGAGUACAGCUUGGGCUCACUGGAUCCUCUGCCUCCUGGGUUCAAGCGAUUCUCCUGCCUCAGUCUCUCGAGUAGGUGGGACUUCAGGUGCAUGCCACCAGGCCCGACUGAUUUUUGUAUUUUUAGUAGAGACGGGGUUUCACCAUGAUGGCCAGGUUGGCCUCGAACUCCUGACUUCAAGUGAUCCUCCCGCCUUAGCCUCCCAAAGUGCUAGGAUUACAGGCGUGUGCCACCAUGCCCAGCUGCACACUCUCUUACAUUUCCCACACCUUGAAAUUUCCCUCACUGCCCACCCUAAAUACAGUACCAUGAGACGCAAAUCUUAGAUUAGAUUUCAAAGGAAGGGCAGUGUCACUUAGUUCCAUUAAGGCCUACCUGUAUCCUCUGUGGCCUAGACUGGAGGUGGAUAUGGGGAGAGUGAUUUCCAAGAUAGACAUAGCUCUGUUACCUUCACUCCCUGAGUCCAAGCCCAGUUGAAUACCUAAGUGGCUUCUCAUUCUUUUUUUUUUUUUUUUUUUUUUUUUUUUGAGACGGAGUCUCGCCCUGUCACUCAGGCUGGAGUGCAGUGGCAUGAUCUUGGCUCACUGCAACCUCCGCCUCCCAGGUUCAAGCAAUUCUCCUGCCUUAGCCUCCUAAGUAGCUGGGAUUACAGGCAUGUGCCACCACAUCCGGCUAAUUUUUGUAUUUUUAGUAGAGACGGGGUUUCACCAUGUUGGCCAGGAUAGUCUCGAUCUCUUGACCUCGUGAUCCACCUGCCUCGGUCUCCCAAAGUGCUGGGAUUAUAGGUGUGAGCCACCGCACCCAGCCGUGGCUUCUCAUUCUUAUCCUUAGAGAUUGCUGGCAUCCCCUGCCUCUUACCACUCUUCCCAUCCUUCCAUCAGCUUAGACCACUCAAGUGCUUUCACUACAAGUUUCCUUUAUUGUCAUCACUAGGCAGCUCCAUUUUGAUCUCAGAGCUAAUAGAUGAAUCCACUUUCUUCAAUAUGGCCACUCUCUCAGCUGGGGUCUUCUUCCCUAAUCUGUGUGUGUGUGUGUGUGUGUGUGUGUGUGUGUGUGUGUGUUGGUUUUUUUUUGAGACAAAGUCUCACUCUGUUGUCCAAGCUGGAGUGCAGGGGCACCAUCUCAGCUCACUGCAACCUCCACCUCCCAGGUUCAAGCAAUUCUCCUGCCUCAGCCUCCCAAGUAGCUGGGACUACAGGCACGUGCCACCACACCCAGCUAACUUUUUUUGUAUUUUUAGUAGACACAGGGUUUCACUAUGUUGGCCAUGCUGGUCUUGAACUCCUGACCUUGUGAUCCGCCCACCUCAGCCUCCCGAAGUGCUGGGAUUACAGGCGUGAGCCACCAUGCCUGGCCCUGAAAUAAAAAAAUAAUUAUUAUUCUUUUUUUUUUUUUUUUUUUGAGACAGAGUCUCGCACUGUCACCCAGGCUGGAGUGCAGUGGCGCGAUCUCGGCUCACUGCAAGCUCCGCCUCCCGGGUUCACGCCAUUCUCCUGCCUCAGCCUCCCAAGUAGCUGGGACUACAGGCGCCCGCCAACACGCCCAGCUAAUUUUUUUUUGUAUUUUUAGUAGACACAGGGUUUCACUAUGUUGGCCAUGCUGGUCUUGAACUCCUGACCUUGUGAUCCGCCCACCUCAGCCUCCCAAAGUGCUGGGAUUACAGGCGUGAGCCACCAUGCCUGGCCCUGAAAUAAAAAAAUAAUUAUUAUUCUUUUAAAAAAAGAGUUUGAGGCCUUGGGUACCUUGAGUUAAAGAGGCUUCUAAAGGAGAACCUGGGGGAUUCCAAAUCUGACAGCUACAAUUUUGCACAAAGCCUUACUCAGUGUUCUCCACUCAUCACCCCCUUUCUUUUUACCUGCUUCCCUUGUCUUCUGCUCAUCUCCUCUCCUGGCGAGUUGGUGUUGGUUGUUGUCAGGAAGCCUCAGCUCCUCACAAUGGGAACUCCCCAGAGGGCUCCUUGAAUGUCCUCAUGACAUGGCGCCUAACUCCCCCCAGAAUGAGAGAUUCAGGAGACAGUGAGAAGGAAGCCACCAAGCCUUUACGUCCUAAUCUCUAAAGUCACUGUAGGGGAGAAAAUUAGCAUCUUUAUCUACUAUCACCCUAGGUUUGUGGCAGAGAUACCCAUAACAAAAUAUUAAAUACAAGAGAAAAGCAUACAAAUUUAUUUAAUAAGUUUUACAUCAUAUGAGAGACAUAAUAAGGAAAUGAAGACCCAAAGAAACAGAAAAAAACUGUAUUUUUAUGCUUAGGUUCAUGUAGAGUGGACUAUCAUACGGUAUGAUUGGACAAAAGUGGGUAUGAUCUAAUGGAAUGAGACCACCACUUCUCCUGUUGUGCUUCCCAGCUUCUCCCCAACCUCCCCUUUUCCCUAAUUUAUAAGACAGGAGAAAAGGGAGAAAGCAAAAAGUUGGAAAGAAACAGAAGUAAGAUAAAUAGCUACACGACCUUGGCGCCAUCACCUGGCCCUGGUGGUUAAUAAUAAUAUUAACCCCUGACCAAAACUACUAGUGUUAUCUGUAAAUUCCAGACAUUGUAUGAGAAAGCACUGUAAAACUUUUUGUUCUGUUAGCUGAUGUAUGUAGCCCCUAGUCACGUUCCUCAUGCUUACUUGAUCUAUUAUGACCCUUUCACGUGGACCUCUUAGAGUUGUAAGCCCUUAAAAAGGGCUAGGAAUUUCUUUUUCGGGGAGCUCAGCUCUUAAGACAGGAGUGUGCCGAUGCUCCUGGCGGAAUAAAAAUCUCUUCCUUCUUUCGUCCAGUGUCUGAGGAGUUUUGUCUGCGACUCAUCCUGCUACAGUAAUGGUAACAAACUGGAGAAGGCCUGUUUAUUCACAGCUUCUUGGCAUCUCUGCAUUUUCAUUCUUUUCUUCUGGGCAUAGGAAGGAGGCCCUGGAAAUAGGGUCUUAUUACCUUAUUUUGUAAGAAGGUCAGAGAAUUCUUUUAGGGCCUGCUUCAUGGGAGAAAGUCAGGGGAAGGUCAGAGAGACCUUCCCUGUGAAACCAUCCCCACGGUGUUAACAAUAAUUACAUGCCAGGCUUUAGAUAAAAGUAUAGGUUAAGCAUUAGUCAGGUUGUCCUAUGACUCAUUUUCCUAUAGCCUCUUAUGGACCAUGUAGGCCAGGACAUAAACCAUGAAUUUCCUUAUUGUUCUUGUAGAUAGCAUCUUUGACGUUAGGAGCCUUACAACUUUUCAUUUGAGAUGUUUUUCAGAACUGACGCCAAUGAGUCCAAAGACCACACCAAGGAACCAAGUUGGUCUGAGAAUGCAGUUUCUUCAGCUGGGCACGGUAGCUCACGCCUGUAAUCCCAACACUUUGGGAGGCCAAGGCGGGCAGAUCAUGAGGUCAGGAGUUCGAUACCAGCCUGGCCAACAUGGUGAAACCCCGUCUCCACUAAAAAUACAAAGAUUAGCUGGGCAUGGUGGUGUGCACUUGUAAUCCUAGCUACUGAGGAGGCUAAGGCAGGAGAAUGGCUUGAAUCCAGGAGGCAGAGGUUGCAGUGAGCUAAGAUCAUGUCACUGCACUCCAGCCUGGGUGACAAGCAAGACUCUGUCUCAAAAAAAAAAAAAAAAAAAAAAAUGCAGUUUCUUCACCUCCAUCCUAUGAUGUCACCCUUCACUCUUUGAACAAUCAACACCUUGGCCCACUACUCAUCCAAACCCCUUAAGGUCCCUAGACCCAAACUCUUUGAAGAGGUGGUUUUGAGGUUUCUUCUCAUCUCAUUUGGUGGCCUUACAAUUAAACCUCUUUCUCUGCUGCAACCUGGAGUCCUGGUGCAUUGACUUUCUGCACAUCAGGCAACACACCCAGCACAAUCACCCCUGCACAUGCUGUUUCUCCAUUCAUUUCUUCAGCUUGAAUUCUUUUUUUUUUUUUUUUUUGAGAUGGAGUCUCACUCUGUCACCCAGGCUGGAGUGCAGUGGCAUGAUCUUGGCUCACCGCAACCUCCACCACCCGGGUUCAAGCGAUUCUUAUGCCUCAGCCUCCCGAGUAGCUGGGAUUACAGGCGCCUGCCACUGCGCCCAGCUAAUUUUUGUAGUUUUAGUAGAGACGGGGUUUCACCAUCUUGGCCAGGCUGGUCUUGAACUCAUGACCUCAUGAUCCACCCACCUUGGCCUCCCAAAGUGCUGGGAUUAUAGGCAUGAGCCACUGCGCCCGGCCUUUUUUUUUUUUCUUUUUUUGAGACGGAGUUUCACUCUUGUUGCCCAGGCUGGAGUGCAACGGCACGAUCUUGGCUCACCGCAACCUCUUCCUACCGAGUUCAAGCAUUCUACUGCUUCAGCCUCCUGCAUAGCUAGUAUUACAGGCAUGCGCCACCACACCCAGCUAAUUUUGUAUUUUUAGUAGAGACGGUGUUUCUCCAUGUUGGUCAGGCUGGUCUUGAACUCCUGACCUCAGGUGAUCCACCCGCCUCAGCCUCCCAAAGUGCUAGGAUUAUAGGCGUGAGCCACCAUGCCCAGCCGAAUUAUUUAAUAUGUCAAGGCACCAUAUUUUAAGGUAGUGCAUCCUGCACUGCAUCUGGAACACAUGCCACAUCCCUUCUGCUACAUUCUACUGGUCAAAGCAUCCCUUCUGCUACAUGCUACUAGUCAAAGCAAGUUACAAAAGCAGGCAAGAUCCAAAGGUUGAGGAAAUAGACCCCUACCUCUGAGAAGCAGCAAAUAAUUUGUGGCCAUGUUUAAUCUACCACAAAGAAUUUGGCCAGGAUCAGAGAUGGAUGCCCACACUUUUGUCCUUUGUGUUACUGAACUGGAGUUUUGAAGAGGCCAUCACACGGUCUACCCCCUUUAGAAGGAGAUCUGCAAAAGCUUUAAACGUUUGCCCUGAGCUCUCAGUUUCUGUCGUUUUUCCUUUUCCCAUCUCUCUCUCAGCCCCACCCCCCUUUCCUUGCUGCCCCAUCCUCUGUAAUUCAGCUACAGCCAAGCUGUAGCUUUUCCUGUCUGGCCCUACCCAACUCAGGGACCCAUUCUUCUCCCCAUUUCGAGCCCCAUAGGCCUCCUCAACUCUCUCUGGAAAGGAGAAACCGGCUCAAAGUGAGUUGAGUGGAGAAUUGGGAAAGCUCUUUGAGACUUCUGGAGUUCCCAGUAGCAAAAGGAAACAGGAUAACAAAACAGGGUGAAACCUGAAUGAUGGCAUGGAGGGGCUGGUGGGGGUGCUCACAAGAAAUAGGAUGGAAAAGAACUGAAAAUGGAAAGUUGCCCUUACCUUCCCUGACUUGAGGGACCUGUGACUCUAGGCAAUUGAGGCUAGUUGUCUUGCCAAGGUGAUAGCAUGUAAUAGCCCAUAAUUACCCGUAAUGACUUCAUGAGGCUCAGCCUAGGUGGGAGCCCAGGCAUUUCAAGAUAAUGUCUUUUCUUCCCUUUGUAUUCUGAGUGUGUUAGCUCCCUGCAUGGAUUGAAAGGUGCUUAUUAACACAAGUGCCCUUGUUAAUUAGGUCGGUUCUGACUUACGUGCUACUUAUUACAUACUCAAGUCAAUACGGAUAAGUGUCCUGCUUCUGGGCUGGGGACAGAGAAAAAGCCAGAAAACCCACUUCUCCUCAAAAGGUGUCUCUGGUGUCCAGAAAGGACAGAUGAUGUUUCAUUUUUAUGCUGCUGGGAUGAGCUGAGGGAAGGGGAGAAGCAGGAGGCAAACCCUGAUGGGGGGCUGCUGGAAGGAGACAGCUCACAGGACACCACCACCACAAGCUGAGCCUCCACUUUCCCAUCUGUGAUGUGGGGCUUAGAACCAGAGUAUUGGCAUGAGAAAGGAUUAGAGAUGAAUGCCCACUUUUGUCCUUGUAAGAAAAAAUUGUGGGACUUUGUAUUUUUAUAGGAGUCCUGGCCUAAAUAGUUCAUCCUUCCAGAUUAUCUCUUAUCUCUUCCUAGUUUUUUUUUUUUUUUUUUUUUUUUCGAGACGGAGUCUCACUCUUGUCACCCAGGCUGGAGUGCAAUGGCGUGAUCUCGGCUCACCGCAACCUCUGCCUCCCAAGUUCAAGCGAUUCUCCUGCCUCAGCCUCCCAAGUAGCUGGGAUUACAGGCGCCUGCCACCAUGCCCAGCAAAUUUUUGUAUUUUUAGUAGAGACGGGGUUUCACCAUGUUGGCUAGGCUGGUAUCGAACUCCUGACCUCGAGUGAUCUGCUCACCUCGGCCUCCCAAAGUGCUGGGAUUACAGGCGUGAGCCACCACGCCCGGCCCCUAGUUUGUCUUUGAUCAGGAUAUUUUACCACUCUGUAGAGAUAAAAGUUGACUUGUAAACAUCUGAUAGUUACACAGUUUCCUUCUAAAGAAAUGCAAAUUGCAUCCAUUGUACAGUGACAUGCAGUUGAUUCUAUUGCUUUGGUAUGAUAGGGUUCAUGACAUACUACGCCAAAAUGUGGCACCUCAGCAUUCGAGAAAACAAGAGAAGCAGGGAGGUUUCUCUGGCCUUCUCCCACUGUUCUCCCCUGAAGCAGGCCAUAAAACUGAAUUGAACUUCUCCCGAAGUAGGUCAUAAGGCCCUCAUUUCAGAGGGGUUCUCUCUAUAUCUGGAGAAAAGGAAUAAAGACACAGAGAUGCCAAGAAGAAUCUGAACAAACAGGCCUUGCUAAGUUCCCCCCAGUUCCCUCCCGCUCCUGUCUCUGGCUCCUCUGCCUUUCCCAGAACACAGGGAGAGGCUUUCUCUGAAGUUCCCUUAUCUGACCAAGGGAAGUUUCUUCAGAACGAAUGCAGUUGUCUUGGGCCCUCUCCCUACAAUCUCAUUAAACAGAGAAGAUUAACUCACAGGAAAGAAGACUGGAGUUGACACCAAACCCGGAGCCCAGACGAACUUUGUGACACGAUAUUGCCUGUUCUUUGGGCCCAUUCAUUCCCCCAACAAUCAUUUACUCUUUCUCUAAAAUUGCCUAGAGCCCCCACCUCCCUUACUCCUAUGAAGAGGGCAUUUAAGCUUCAGCUAUCUGGCUCUUUGAGUUUACUUUGUGUGACUCUCAUUUGUGUGACUCUCUUGCACUUGCAUAUUAAUGAAUUCAUAAGCCUUUUCUCCUAUUAAUCUGCCUAUUGUCCAUUUAUUUCAGCAGAUGCAAUUAUCAAACUUUCAGCAAGAAAGUGUAAACUUUCCUGCAAUACACUUUUGUCUUUCGAUCAUACUUCUGCAUUACUGCCCAUAAAAAUACACAGAUUUUUCAGUUCGUUUGGGUCUUGGUUACUGAAGGCUCCUAUGUCACAUAAAACUUUGGUUAAAUAAAGAUGUAUGUUUUCAUCUUGCUGAUCUGUCUUUUGUUAUGGGGUCACUGCCAUGAACCUUGCAAAGAUUAGGGAAAAGAUAAUACUUUGUCACACAUAAAUAUUGACCAGUUUUUUCAGUUCUUCGAGUUUUGCAUCCACUUGUAAAUGCAUCUCAACAUUCUUUAUCUGAUAGUUUUCUUUAAAAUUGACUAUAAUAUUCAAAUUAUAUUAACGAGAGUUUCCUUAUUAAUUAAUGAGUUAAAUGUUUUGCAUUUUAUAUCUGUGUAAUAUUUUAAAAUAUUAAUCUUGUUGCCAGGUUUGGAGGUUCAUGCCUAUAAUCCCAACACUUUGGGGGGCCAAGGCAGGCAGAUCACUCGAGCUCAAGAGGGCAACAUGGUGAAACCCUGUCUCUACCAAAAAGUACAAAAAAAAUUAGCCGGAUGUGGUGUCACAAGCCUCUAGUCCCAGCUACUCAGGAGGCUGAGGUGAGAGGAUCACCUGAGCCCAGGAUGUGGAGGUUACAGUGAGCCAAGAUCAUGCCACUGCACUCCAGUCUGGGUGACAGAGCAAGACCCCUCUCAAAAAAAAAAAAAAAAAAAUUACUCAUUUAACAUUCUACAGAAGAAGAAAAGUAGGCCCCAAGAGGAGGUGGGACUUACCUGAGAUCACACAGCUCAUUUGUCCCAAAGCAUGACCAGAAGAAGCCAGGCCUCCUUUGGCUUCUUUAAGUUCAGUA